rnacentral:ribozyme from 1 species
AGUAGCAUGCGCAGUUCGGUAGAUAGCAAGUGGACAACCGGAGGCACAGGACCGGCACUCUUGCCUGGUAAAGUCAAGUCCUUCUCUGCGU